UGAGGGAUGAGUUUGUUAUGAUGGGAAUACAUCAAAACGAGCUUAGAAGUGAGGACUACAUUGUCGUAUAGGGAGGUGCGGAGUAAGCGAGCAUGGAGGUGGCGCAGAUGAGUUGGGUUAGGGGAAGAGUGAAGAAGGGAAAAAUAGUGUGAAAUGAGAGAAGUAUUUUGUGGGUUCGUGGAAGUGGUGGUGGAGAAGAAGAGCUUAUUUAAGAGAAGAAACUUUGUUCUUGCCAAGAACAACGAAGCAAAGUGCAUAGCCAAUCCAGCC
rnacentral:misc_RNA from 1 species